ACCUACGGGAGGCAGCAGUGGGGGAUAUUGCACAAUGGGGGGAACCCUGAUGCAGCGACGCCGCGUGGGUGAAGAAGUAUUUCGGUAUGUAAAGCCCUAUCGGCAGGGAAGAAAUUGGACGGUACCUGACUAAGAAGCCCUGGCUAACUACGUGCCAGCAGCCGCAGUAAUACGGAGGGUGCGAGCGUUAAUCGGAAUUACUGGGCGUAAAGCGCUCGUAGGCGGGAUGUCAAGUCCAGGGUGAAAUCCCCGCGCUCAACGUGGGAACUGCCUUUUAA
rnacentral:rRNA from 1 species